UACAGAGGGUGCAAGCGUUAAUCGGAAUUACUGGGCGUAAAGCGUGCGUAGACGGUUACAUAAGUCGGGUGUGAAAGCCCCGGGCUCAACCUGGGAAUUGCAUUCGAGACUGCGUAGCUAGGGUGCGGAAGAGGGAAGCGGAAUUUCCGGUGGAGCGGUGAAAUGCGUUGAUAUCCACAGGAACUCCGGUGGCGAAGGCGGCACGCUGGACCCCAUCUGACGCUGAGGCGCGAAAGCCAGGGGAGCGAACGGG
rnacentral:rRNA from 1 species